GACGAACGCUGGCGGCGUGCUUAACACAUGCAAGUCGAACGGAAAGGCCCUGCUUUUGUGGUGUGCUCGAGUGGCGAACGGGUGAGUAACACGUGAGUAACCUGCCCUUGACUUUGGGAUAACUUCAGGUAACUGGGGCUACUAUCGGAUAGGAGCUCCUGCUGCGUGGUGGGGGUUGGAAAGUCUCGGCGGUUGGGGCUGGACUCGCGGCUUAUCAGCUUGUUGGUGGGGUAGUGGCUUACCAAGGCAUUGACGGGUAGCCGGCCUGGGAGGGUGACCGGCGACAAGGGUACUGAGGGACGGCCCAGACGCCUACGGGAGGCAACAGGGGGGAAUAUGGCACAAUGGGCGGGAGCCUGUGGCGGCAACGCCGCGGGUGGGAUGACGGCUUGCUGGGUGAAAACCGCUUUCGCUUGUGACGAAGCGGGAGUGACGGUAAUGGGUGAAUAAGCACCGGCUAACUACGUG
rnacentral:rRNA from 1 species